rnacentral:rRNA from 1 species
UUAAGUUAUUAAGGGCGCACGGUGGAUGCCUUGGCACUAGAAGCCGAUGAAGGACGUUACUAACGACGAUAUGCUUUGGGGAGCUGUAAGUAAGCUUUGAUCCAGAGAUUUCCGAAUGGGGAAACCCAGCAUGAGUUAUGUCAUGUUAUCGAUAUGUGAAUACAUAGCAUAUCAGAAGGCACACCCGGAGAACUGAAACAUCUUAGUACCCGGAGGAAGAGAAAGAAAAUUCGAUUCCCUUAGUAGCGGCGAGCGAAACGGGAAGAGCCCAAACCAACAAGCUUGCUUGUUGGGGUUGUAGGACACUCUAUACGGAGUUACAAAGGACGACAUUAGACGAAUCAUCUGGAAAGAUGAAUCAAAGAAGGUAAUAAUCCUGUAGUCGAAAAUGUUGUCUCUCUUGAGUGGAUCCUGAGUACGACGGAGCACGUGAAAUUCCGUCGGAAUCUGGGAGGACCAUCUCCUAAGGCUAAAUACUCUCUAGUGACCGAUAGUGAACCAGUACCGUGAGGGAAAGGUGAAAAGCACCCCGGAAGGGGAGUGAAAUAGAACCUGAAACCGUGUGCUUACAAGUAGUCAGAGCCCGUUAAUGGGUGAUGGCGUGCCUUUUGUAGAAUGAACCGGCGAGUUACGAUUUGAUGCAAGGUUAAGCAGUAAAUGUGGAGCCGUAGCGAAAGCGAGUCUGAAUAGGGCGUUUAGUAUUUGGUCGUAGACCCGAAACCAGGUGAUCUACCCUUGGUCAGGUUGAAGUUCAGGUAACACUGAAUGGAGGACCGAACCGACUUACGUUGAAAAGUGAGCGGAUGAACUGAGGGUAGCGGAGAAAUUCCAAUCGAACCUGGAGAUAGCUGGUUCUCUCCGAAAUAGCUUUAGGGCUAGCCUCAAGUGAUGAUUAUUGGAGGUAGAGCACUGUUUGGACGAGGGGCCCCUCUCGGGUUACCGAAUUCAGACAAACUCCGAAUGCCAAUUAAUUUAACUUGGGAGUCAGAACAUGGGUGAUAAGGUCCGUGUUCGAAAGGGAAACAGCCCAGACCACCAGCUAAGGUCCCAAAAUAUAUGUUAAGUGGAAAAGGAUGUGGCGUUGCCCAGACAACUAGGAUGUUGGCUUAGAAGCAGCCAUCAUUUAAAGAGUGCGUAAUAGCUCACUAGUCGAGUGACACUGCGCCGAAAAUGUACCGGGGCUAAACAUAUUACCGAAGCUGUGGAUUGUCCUUUGGACAAUGGUAGGAGAGCGUUCUAAGGGCGUUGAAGCAUGAUCGUAAGGACAUGUGGAGCGCUUAGAAGUGAGAAUGCCGGUGUGAGUAGCGAAAGACGGGUGAGAAUCCCGUCCACCGAUUGACUAAGGUUUCCAGAGGAAGGCUCGUCCGCUCUGGGUUAGUCGGGUCCUAAGCUGAGGCCGACAGGCGUAGGCGAUGGAUAACAGGUUGAUAUUCCUGUACCACCUAUAAUCGUUUUAAUCGAUGGGGGGACGCAGUAGGAUAGGCGAAGCGUGCGAUUGGAUUGCACGUCUAAGCAGUAAGGCUGAGUAUUAGGCAAAUCCGGUACUCGUUAAGGCUGAGCUGUGAUGGGGAGAAGACAUUGUGUCUUCGAGUCGUUGAUUUCACACUGCCGAGAAAAGCCUCUAGAUAGAAAAUAGGUGCCCGUACCGCAAACCGACACAGGUAGUCAAGAUGAGAAUUCUAAGGUGAGCGAGCGAACUCUCGUUAAGGAACUCGGCAAAAUGACCCCGUAACUUCGGGAGAAGGGGUGCUCUUUAGGGUUAACGCCCAGAAGAGCCGCAGUGAAUAGGCCCAAGCGACUGUUUAUCAAAAACACAGGUCUCUGCUAAACCGUAAGGUGAUGUAUAGGGGCUGACGCCUGCCCGGUGCUGGAAGGUUAAGAGGAGUGGUUAGCUUCUGCGAAGCUACGAAUCGAAGCCCCAGUAAACGGCGGCCGUAACUAUAACGGUCCUAAGGUAGCGAAAUUCCUUGUCGGGUAAGUUCCGACCCGCACGAAAGGCGUAACGAUUUGGGCACUGUCUCAACGAGAGACUCGGUGAAAUCAUAGUACCUGUGAAGAUGCAGGUUACCCGCGACAGGACGGAAAGACCCCGUGGAGCUUUACUGUAGCCUGAUAUUGAAAUUCGGCACAGCUUGUACAGGAUAGGUAGGAGCCUUUGAAACGUGAGCGCUAGCUUACGUGGAGGCGCUGGUGGGAUACUACCCUAGCUGUGUUGGCUUUCUAACCCGCACCACUUAUCGUGGUGGGAGACAGUGUCAGGCGGGCAGUUUGACUGGGGCGGUCGCCUCCUAAAAGGUAACGGAGGCGCUCAAAGGUUCCCUCAGAAUGGUUGGAAAUCAUUCAUAGAGUGUAAAGGCAUAAGGGAGCUUGACUGCGAGACCUACAAGUCGAGCAGGGUCGAAAGACGGACUUAGUGAUCCGGUGGUUCCGCAUGGAAGGGCCAUCGCUCAACGGAUAAAAGCUACCCCGGGGAUAACAGGCUUAUCUCCCCCAAGAGUUCACAUCGACGGGGAGGUUUGGCACCUCGAUGUCGGCUCAUCGCAUCCUGGGGCUGUAGUCGGUCCCAAGGGUUGGGCUGUUCGCCCAUUAAAGCGGUACGCGAGCUGGGUUCAGAACGUCGUGAGACAGUUCGGUCCCUAUCCGUCGUGGGCGUAGGA